UACGUAGGGGGCAAGCGUUAUCCGGAUUUACUGGGUGUAAAGGGAGCGUAGACGGUAGUGCAAGUCUGGAGUGAAAGGCGGGGGCCCAACCCCCGGACUGCUCUGGAAACUGUGCGACUAGAGUGCAGGAGAGGUAAGUGGAAUUCCUAGUGUAGCGGUGAAAUGCGUAGAUAUUAGGAGGAACACCAGUGGCGAAGGCGGCCUGCUGGACGAUGACUGACGUUGAGGCUCGAAAGCGUGGGGAGCAAACAGG
rnacentral:rRNA from 1 species